rnacentral:rRNA from 1 species
GUCGAGAAUCUUCGGCAAUGGGGGCAACCCUGACCGAGCGACGCCGCGUGGUGGAUGAAGGCCUUCGGGUUGUAAACACCUGUUGGGGGGGAACAAAUUUGAGUGAACCCCUGAGGAAGCACGGGCUAAGUUCGUGCCAGCAGCCGCGGUAAGACGAACCGUGCAAACGUUACUCGGAAUCACUGGGCUUAAAGAGCACGUAGGCGGCGACGUAAGUCAGAGGUGAAAUACCAUCGGCUCAACCGUGGAACAGCCUCUGAUACUGUGUUGCUUGAGGGGGAACGGGGCAUUCGGAACUUCCGGUGGAGCGGUGAAAUGUGUUGAUAUCGGAAGGAACGCCGGUGGCGAAAGCGGAAUGCUGGGUCUCUUCUGACGCUGAGGUGCGAAAGCUAGGGUAGCGAACGGGAUUAGAUACCCGAGUAGUCC